rnacentral:lncRNA from 1 species
AAAUUAUAAACAGAUGUCUUGCAGUUGUACAUGUUUUGUUUAUUAUUUGCAAAUAAAUAAUCAGUAAUGGAAAAAAAUCUUAUAAUGCAUUUAAUGAAUAUUGCAACACUACUAAAAUGAGUUUGGUAAUAUAUUAUGAAUAUUAAAAAAAAAAAAAAAAUUUGCAAAAUAUUAAAAGACGAAACCGAUGGAAGCACUUUACGAAAAGAAUGGCUCGGUGCUUCCAUCUGGUGGAGGAAAUAGCAAACGAAGAGAGAGAAUCGGACCAAUAGAAAAAUGGCGUUAGGAAUUUUUCGGCCAGAAUGAAGUUAUUUUAUUACCAGAAAGAACAAUCAACCUUCGGAGAUAUUUAUAAAUCAAAAAUUACUAGUUUUUCACUUCCUAAAUUUUUGCUAGGUUGCCAAACUUUUAAGGAAAGAAAUACGCGUAUCGCCCUCUGUGGAGGGAAUUCGGCACUAGGAAAGUUCAAGGUAAAAUUAUUUUUUAAAAAAGAUAAAAGCGGAUAAAAAUAGAUAAGGCGGAUGAAGGGGGAAAUUUGCGUUCUACUAUCUGCUGGGAAGGUUUAAUUAUAUUUUUAUCGCCCCGGUUUUUCUACCAGUAAUUAAUUUUGAACGCAGUCGGAAAAUUUGUGAGAGAUUAAAUAUAUAUCGAUAUGUUAACCUAGCCAUGGGCAAACUACGGCCCACCACCAACGAUAUCCGUGCAUAAGUGUAAGAUUUUUUUAAAUUUUACCACAAAAGUGUUAAAUUAUAUAAAACAAGCAACAUAAUUAAUUAAAUUUAGAUUUUGUACACUAAAGUGUCCCCUUUAAAAAAAAAUCUGGCAUGUGCCCCG